rnacentral:rRNA from 1 species
AUUGAACGCUGGCGGCAGGCUUAACACAUGCAAGUCGAACGAUGACUCUCUAGCUUGCUAGAGAAGAUUAGUGGCGGACGGGUGAGUAACAUUUAGGAAUCUGCCUAGUAGUGGGGGAUAGCUCGGGGAAACUCGAAUUAAUACCGCAUACGACCUACGGGUGAAAGGGGGCGCAAGCUCUUGCUAUCAGAUGAGCCUAAAUCAGAUUAGCUAGUUGGUGGGGUAAAGGCCCACCAAGGCGACGAUCUGUAACUGGUCUGAGAGGAUGAUCAGUCACACCGGAACUGAGACACGGUCCGGACUCCUACGGGAGGCAGCAGUGGGGAAUAUUGGACAAUGGGGGCAACCCUGAUCCAGCCAUGCCGCGUGUGUGAAGAAGGCCUUUUGGUUGUAAAGCACUUUAAGCAGGGAGGAGAGGCUAAUGGUUAAUACCCAUUAGAUUAGACGUUACCUGCAGAAUAAGCACCGGCUAACUCUGUGCCAGCAGCCGCGGUAAUACAGAGGGUGCGAGCGUUAAUCGGAAUUACUGGGCGUAAAGCGAGUGUAGGUGGCUCAUUAAGUCACAUGUGAAAUCCCCCGGGCUUAACCUGGGAACUGCAUGUGAUACUGGUGGUGCUAGAAUAUGUGAGAGGGAAGUAGAAUUCCCAGGUGUAGCGGUGAAAUGCGUAGAGAUCUGGAGGAAUACCGAUGGCGAAGGCAGCUUCCUGGCAUAAUAUUGACACUGAGAUUCGAAAGCGUGGGUAGCAAACAGGAUUAGAUACCCUGGUAGUCCACGCCGUAAACGAUGUCUACUAGCCGUUGGGGUCCUUGAGACUUUAGUGGCGCAGUUAACGCGAUAAGUAGACCGCCUGGGGAGUACGGCCGCAAGGUUAAAACUCAAAUGAAUUGACGGGGGCCCGCACAAGCGGUGGAGCAUGUGGUUUAAUUCGAUGCAACGCGAAGAACCUUACCUGGUCUUGACAUAGUGAGAAUCUCUCAGAGAUGAGAGAGUGCCUUCGGGAACUCACAUACAGGUGCUGCAUGGCUGUCGUCAGCUCGUGUCGUGAGAUGUUGGGUUAAGUCCCGCAACGAGCGCAACCCUUUUCCUUAUUUGCCAGCGGGUUAAGCCGGGAACUUUAAGGAUGCUGCCAGUGACAAACUGGAGGAAGGCGGGGACGACGUCAAGUCAUCAUGGCCCUUACGACCAGGGCUACACACGUGCUACAAUGGUAGGUACAGAGGGUUGCUACACAGCGAUGUGAUGCUAAUCUCAAAAAGCCUAUCGUAGUCCGGAUUGGAGUCUGCAACUCGACUCCAUGAAGUCGGAAUCGCUAGUAAUCGCGGAUCAGAAUGCCGCGGUGAAUACGUUCCCGGGCCU